GUAGUCAUAUGCUUGUCUCAAAGAUUAAGCCAUGCAUGUCUAAGUAUAAGCAAUUAUACAGCGAAACUGCGAAUGGCUCAUUAUAUAGGUUAUCGUUUAUUUGAUAUUACCUUACUACUUGGAUAACCGUGGUAAUUCUAGAGCUAAUACAUGCUAAAAAUCCCGACUUCGGAAGGGAUGUAUUUAUUAUAUUAAAAACCAAUGCCCUCGGGGCUCUUUGGUGAUCCAUGAUAACUUCUCGAAUCGCACGGCCUUGCGCCGGCGAUGGUUCAUUCAAAUUUCUUCCCUAUCAACUUUCAAUGUUUGGGUAUUGGCCAAACAUGGUUGCAACGGGUAACGGGGAAU
rnacentral:rRNA from 1 species